GUUAUGAUAUAUUUGAAUGAGUCGGUCGACUGUGCGUCAAGAGUCAGUUGUCAGUUACUAACUCUGAAAUACCGAUGAUCGAAGUUGUUUAUUGUCUGUAGAGUUCGAAGAUCAGCCCCUUACCGAUCUUGAUUUGGUGAGAGGUGUUCAAUUGGUCGGUCGAGAGUAGCGUCGGCCUGUCGAGUUGGUAAUCGCUUUCAGGGUCAUCUUUGUUUAAUGGGUCUGAGUUGGGUGUCGAGCAGAUUGCAUCGG
rnacentral:lncRNA from 1 species